GGCGGCGUGCUUAACACAUGCAAGUCGAGCGUAGGCCAGGGGGGCAACUCCCUGAGUCGAGCGGCGGACGGGUGAGUAACACGUGGGCAAUCUGUCUGAAAGUGGGGAAUACCCCGGGGAAACUCGGGCUAAUUCCGCAUGUGAUCCCGGCUUUGAAAUCGGCCGGGAGGAAAGGGGGGUCGCAAGACCUCCCGCUUUCAGAGGAGCCUGCGCCCGAUUAGCUAGUUGGUGAGGUAACGGCUCACCAAGGCGACGAUCGGUAGCCGGCCUGAGAGGGUGAUCGGCCACACCGGAACUGAGACACGGUCCGGACUCCUACGGGAGGCAGCAGUGGGGAAUCUUGCGCAAUGGGCGAAAGCCUGACGCANCAACGCCGCGUGGANGAUGAAGGUUCUUGGAUUGUNAACUCCUGUCGGCCGGGAANAACUCCAUCGGGGUU
rnacentral:rRNA from 1 species